GACAGAGGGUGCUAGCGUUGUUCGGAUUUACUGGGCGUAAAGGGCGCGUAGGCGGUCGUGACAAGUCACUUGUGAAAUCUCCGGGCUUAACUCGGAACGGUCAAGUGAUACUGUCGGACUAGAGUACAGAAGGGGCAACUGGAAUUCUCGGUGUAGCGGUGAAAUGCGUAGAUAUCGAGAGGAACACCUGCGGCGAAGGCGGGUUGCUGGGCUGAUACUGACGCUGAGGCGCGAAAGCCAGGGGAGCGAACGGG
rnacentral:rRNA from 1 species